rnacentral:rRNA from 1 species
UACAGAGGGUGCAAGCGUUGUUCGGAAUUAUUGGGCGUAAAGCGCGUGUAGGCGGCUUUGCAAGUCGGGUGUGAAAGCCCUCAGCUCAACUGAGGAAGUGCGCCCGAAACUGCAGAGCUUGAGUGCCGGAGAGGGUGGCGGAAUUCCCCAAGUAGAGGUGAAAUUCGUAGAUAUGGGGAGGAACACCGGUGGCGAAGGCGGCCCCCUGGUUGGAUACUGACGCUGAGACGCGAAAGCGUGGGGAGCAAACAGG